GGGAGGCGGCCUCCGUGCGGACCUACUCCUGCUGAGACGCCCAGGAGAGGCUGACUCAAGGAGACACUGAGAGGGACCAUAUCUGCCCGUCCACGGAGAGAAAAAAAAAACUAAAAACAAACAAAACACUCAAUGAACACAACAACUGUAAGAACUAAAAUGGAAGACAUCGGUCGGACGGCUGCAAUAAAAUAAAAAAAAGUUUUAAAAAAAGUCGCAGGAGCAAAACAGGAGACAAAGGGAAAAACAAAAUGACCCGAAGAAUGUAACGCAGUGGACCGGAGGAGAAAAGAGGUCCCUGCUGUUUUAUCUCUCCCCCUCUCUCUCUCUCUCUCCCCCCUCUCUCUCUCUGUCUCCCUCCUUCCUGUCAUCCUGUCUGCGGUCCCCCUUCACUCUGGGACCCGGGUUACGGCCGGUCGGUGUCCGAUGUCCUCCAUUGUGGCUCCUAUUGUCUCUUCUUCUAUGGUGCUGUCUGGGCUGCAGUGGGUGCAGCUCCUCACCCCCCACCAAGCCGUGGUAAAACAUGUCCCCAUUCAGGGCCCCCCAGCCCGGCCCCCCAGCCAUCCCCGGCUCCCAGCCGCCCAUCGCUGGGGCCCCCGCCCUCCGCGGUUCGUCUUUUGGCACCUUGAAAGCGGAGAGCAGCUACUGUCCCCGAGUAAUCCCCCCUUUGAAGGGGGACCCCCAUUAUGGAGACAUCAAAGAGGCCUCCAACCACACAGGGAGGAGGGGCCAGCCCUGGGGGGGGGGGGGGAUCGUUGUCCUCAUUGUGCCUAAUCGCAUUCAGCAGAUCGUUAGGAAUUCAUCAGGUGUGUGUGUGUGUGUGUGUGUGUGUGUGAGUGUGGGUGUGGGUGUGUGUGGAGGCAGUGAGGAUGGACAUGCACCCUGUGUGGUGUCCUUUCUGAUGUCGGCCGUGUAGUUUGUGACCUGUUAUUAUCAGCUCAAGCCCCCCUCCCAUGAAGCUCACACACACACACACACACACACACACAUUGCCUCCCCUCUGGUUUUUCAUGUGAAGCGGUUUCCUAGAGAAAAAGCUAAAAACCUGCUGAGAGAGAGAGAGAGAGAGAGAGAGAGAGAGAGAGAGAGAGAGAGAGAGAGAGAGAGAGAGAGAGAGAGAGAGAGAGAGAGAGAGAGAGAGAGAGAGAGAGAGAGAGAGAGAGAGAGAGAGAGAGAGAGAGAGAGAGAGAGAGGGGGAGACAAACGCAUACACACAAGCCAUAACUGAGGAUCCAACCAUGUGUUCUCUAACCACCCCAGAAGUGACUGACACCACGAAGAGAGAGGGGGGGGGAGGGAGAGAGAUGGGAGAGAGGGAGGAUGGGAGAGGGAGGGAAAGAGGAUAGGAGAGAAAGAGGGGUAGGAAGGGGGAGAGGAAGAGGAAGAGUGAGAGAUGUCCCCGAAGAAAGCAAAAGAAGAUGUAUGAAUAGUACAAAAAAAAAAUGUUUAAAAAACUUUAGCCUCUGUGUUUAUGAUGCAUGUCCAACAAACAAGAUGACAAUUAAACAUGACUUAAACAUGUUGGUGGUUGAGAUGACGUGACUGUCUUUAAAAAAUAUAUAUCUGUAUAUUUAACAUAAUGAGACAGAUUCUGGGCAGGGUUUGGGCCGAUUUAUAAAAUGUGUGUAUUUUUUCGGUUGUAUUUUUAAUUUUUUACGAUAACUAUAUUUAUUUUCUUUAUGUAUGUAUUGGAUAAAUGUAUGUACAUGUUCAGUUUCUUCUUAAUUAUGACUUCAUUUUAACUAGUUUUGAAAGUUAAUAUGAGACAUUGAAAAUGGUCAUUCAAAUAUGCUACGGUCGGUGUACAUUUUGACGAAGAAAUUGUGCAUUGAUUUAACAGAUUUACAUAAUUAAAGUGAUAGUAAUAAAAUUGAAAAUAUCAUCUGAAGAAAAUAAUGGUGAUGAUAUUAUGACAAUGAUAGUGAUGUGAAAAAAUAAAAAAUGUAAUGAUCCUUGUCGAUCUGCUGAUCAUCAACAUUAAUUGUAUAUAUA
ensembl:lncRNA